rnacentral:tRNA from 2 species
GGAGUGGUAGCUCAGCGGUAGAGCAGGAGAUUGCAGUCCUACAGGCCAAUAUCUCAAGGUCCCGUGUUCAAUCCACGGUCGCUCCU